UACGGGGGGGGCUAGCGUUGCUCGGAAUUACUGGGCGUAAAGCGCACGUAGGCGGCUCUUUAAGUCGGGGGUGAAAUCCUGGAGCUCAACUCCAGAACUGCCUUCGAUACUGUAGAGCUUGAGUUCGGGAGAGGUGAGUGGAACUGCGAGUGUAGAGGUGAAAUUCGUAGAUAUUCGCAAGAACACCAGUGGCGAAGGCGGCUCACUGGCCCGAUACUGACGCUGAGGUGCGAAAGCGUGGGGAGCAAACAGG
rnacentral:rRNA from 1 species